rnacentral:rRNA from 1 species
UGCGUAGGUGGUCUUUUAAGUCGGAUGUGAAAUCCCUGAGCUUAACUUAGGAAUUGCAUUCAAUACUGGGAGACUAGAGUAUGGGAGAGGAUGGUAGAAUUCCAGGUGUAGCGGUGAAAUGCGUAGAGAUCUGGAGGAAUACCGAUGGCGAAGGCAGCCAUCUGGCCUAAUACUGACACUGAGGCACGAAAGCAUGGGGAGCAAACA